rnacentral:rRNA from 1 species
CCUACGGGUGGCAGCAGUGAGGAAUAUUGGUCAAUGGGCGCGAGCCUGAACCAGCCAAGUCGCGUGAGGGAAGACGGCCCUACGGGUUGUAAACCUCUUUUGCCGGGGAGCAAAGGGCGCCACGUGUGGCGCCACAGAGAGUACGCGGAGAAAAAGCAUCGGCUAACUCCGUGCCAGCAGCCGCGGUAAUACGGAGGAUGCGAGCGUUAUCCGGAUUUAGUGGGUUUAAAGGGUGCGUAGGCGGAGCGUUAAGUCCGUGGUCAAAUGGGGGGGCUCAACCCCUUCCCGCCAUUGAAACUGGCGCUCUAGAGUGUAAGAGAAGUAUGCGGAAUGCGUGGUGUAGCGGUGAAAUGCAUAGAUAUCACGCAGAACCCCGAUUGCGAAGGCAGCAUGCCGGCUUCCGACUGACGCUGAAGCACGAAAGCGUGGGGAUCGAACAGGAUUAGAUACCCUUGUAGUC